CCUACGGGUGGCAGCAGUGGGGAAUAUUGGACAAUGGGCGAAAGCCUGAUCCAGCCAUGCCGCGUGUGUGAAGAAGGCCUUCGGGUUGUAAAGCACUUUCAGUGGGGAAGAAAGCCUUGGGGCUAAUACCCUCGAGGAAGGACAUCACCCACAGAAGAAGCACCGGCUAACUCCGUGCCAGCAGCCGCGGUAAUACGGAGGGUGCGAGCGUUAAUCGGAAUUACUGGGCGUAAAGCGCGCGUAGGCGGUCUGAUAAGCCGGUUGUGAAAGCCCCGGGCUCAACCUGGGAACGGCAUCCGGAACUGUCAGGCUAGAGUGCAGGAGAGGAAGGUAGAAUUCCCGGUGGAGCGGUGAAAUGCGUAGAGAUCGGGAGGAAUACCAGUGGCGAAGGCGGUCUUCUGGACUGACACUGACGCUGAGGUGCGAAAGCGUGGGUAGCAAACAGGAUUAGAUACCCUAGUAGUC
rnacentral:rRNA from 1 species